CCUACGGUGGGCAGCAGUGGGGAAUCUUGCGCAAUGGGCGAAAGCCUGACGCAGCGACGCCGCGUGAGGGAUGAAGGUCUUCGGAUCGUAAACCUCUGUCAGCAGGGAAGAACGGUCACUGUGCUAAUCAGCAGUGAAUUGACGGUACCUUCAAAGGAAGCACCGGCUAACUCCGUGCCAGCAGCCGCGGUAAUACGGAGGGUGCGAGCGUUAAUCGGAAUUACGGGGCGUAAAGCGCUCGUAGGCGGUAUGUCAAGUCAAGCGUGAAAGCCCCGCGCUCAACGUGGGAAUUGCAUUUGAAACUGUCAAACUGGAGUGUGUGAGAGGAUAGUGGAAUUGCAGGUGUAGGAGUGAAAGCCGUAGAUAUCUGGAGGAACAUCAGUGGCGAAGGCGACUAUCUGGCACAUAACUGACGCUGAGGAGCGAAAGCGUGGGUAGCAAACAGGAUUAGAUACCCCAGUAGUC
rnacentral:rRNA from 1 species